rnacentral:rRNA from 1 species
CAGUAGCCACGGUAAUACAGAGGGUGCGAGCGUUAAUCGGAUUUACUGGGCGUAAAGCGUGCGUAGGCGGCUUCUUAAGUCGGAUGUGAAAUCCCUGAGCUUAACUUAGGAAUUGCAUUCGAUACUGGGAAGCUAGAGUAUGGGAGAGGAUGGUAGAAUUCCAGGUGUAGCGGUGAAAUGCGUAGAGAUAUGGAGGAAUACCGAUGGCGAAGGCAGCCAUCUGGCCUAAUACUGACGCUGAGGUACGAAAGCAUGGGGAGCAAACAGGAUUAGAUACCCGCGUAGUCCCUGUCUCUUAUAU